CAAAGGCCGCCAUAGGGGAUGGUUUGCUAUUAGGUUUAGGUCUAGGGUUUUCAAAUUAGGGCUUCGUCCACAAGGCACCCUAUUUUAAGAGCAUUAGACCUAAGAACCUUUACAUCGAAGCACCAUUAGUCCACGAAGGGAAAUCUGGUUCUCGGUUGUGAAGGAACCCGACAGUGGUUGGGGGAUCUACCGAGAUCAAGGACUUAGGCGGGUGUCGUUAUUCACCUUAGUUGGUUUGCCUAAAGAGUAAUAAUAGCUUAACCACAUGUCUAUUUUACCCUGGAAUGAAUUUGCAUCACAUCUGGAUUAGAGAAAUGUUAGGCACAUCUUGUGCUGCAGAUCUCAUGUGGUAAUGAGAAUGAAACGAUUAAAGGGUUGUAACAAUUACACCUGUAUUCUUUCUUCAUUGUUAUAAAUCGAAACAGUAGGAUGCAUUUAUGUCCGUUCCAAUUUAUUUUAGUUGAAUGUUUGUUCUGUUUGUUCACCUCUGCUGUAUUUAUUUUUAUCUUGAAGUGAUUAUUUGUCGAUACAAUUUUAAUAUGUAAUGUCUGGUGUCUUCUCUCUUUUGGAGUUUUUAAUUUUUUUCAGUCUUUGAAUUUUUAAUAUGCCUUUUUUAGUGUUGUUAUGUCUGGUGUCUUUUUACUCUCUUUUUGGGUGUUUUAUUUUCAGUCUUUGAAUUUUUCAAUAUACCUUUUUUAGUUUUUUGUUUAAAAUAUAAUCCUACAUUUUUUUUCAUAAAGAUGCAACUGAUGAUGUGACUCCAAGACGAGAUAAACUAAACUGGAGCAAAUCAUAGCAAUCAAUGGUGAACAGGAAAAUACAAGAUCAACACUAAACUGGAUCAAAUCAUAGCAAUCAAUGGGUAACAGAAAAAUACAAGAUCAAGCUCAGAAUCUGGAAUCUCUAAACAAAAUGAUAGAUUAUUAAUGAUCUAUUAUUAAUAAUUUCUUGAUACGUAAACAAAAAUAACAGUACAGAAGCCUCACCAUUUUACCGUUGCACAGUCAACUUCACUUUCAUAACAAAUAACAUGUCCACUAAAAAUAGUUAGCAAGACAGUAAAAAAUAGGCAACACCCAUCAGAACAUAGGUAGAGCAAUUAAGGUAACGCUGUUCAGGACAUGUAUAAGGUAACGCUGAUCACAACAUAUGUAGGGUAAUUAAGAGAUGCUCUGCAUCAUCUGUCAUUUGUACGAGAAAAUCUGAACCUCCUAAUACAGAAUAGUCGUACUGAAUUGUGAACUUCAAGAGAUUGCUAUUAUCAACUAUUAAGAAUCAACCAUGGAACCAUGGCGUUCCCUUAUAUCAUGUAGGAUAUUUUGGUAAAUCAUUUUAUAUUUUCUUCUAUUGCUUUAAUCUCUUCAUAGAACAAAGAUCUUUUACCUCUGCAUGUUUGUUCCUUUUUCUUAUUUACUCCCUUGAAGGUUUAGCAGUACACCGAUUAUCAUUAUUGUCCUUUUGCAUCACUCCUAGAUCUUAUUAUACUUUAAAAAAGAAAUAAAAUUAAGGGAUUGAUGCAACUCAAAUCAAGAUGAGAUGAUUAAAUAAGAACAAUCAUAACAAUCAACAAGGAACAGGAAAAAUGCAAGAUCAAACUAAGAAAACUUGAAUCUGUAAACAGAAUAGAUAUAAAAUUUAGGUAGAUUGGUGCUUCUCAAAUCAAGAUGAGAUCAAAUUUGAGAGCAGAAAAAAAUCAAGAGUUAACUCGGAAACUGUAAAACUGCAAUUUCUAAACAUGAUAGAUAUUAAAACUAAGGGAGACUGAUGCAUCUCAAAUCAAGAUGAGGUCGAUUACUUGGAGCAAUCGAUUAAGAGAGACUGAUGCAUCUCAAAUUAAGGUGAGAUGGAUUAAAUUAGAGCAAUCAUGACAAUCAACCAGGAACAAGAAACAAUGCAAUAACAAACUCGGAUACUCGAAUGUUUAAACAGAAUAGAUGAUAUUUCCUUAUGACAAUAGGUAUAUUAUUAAACAGAAUAGAUAUAUUAUCAUCAAUAUUGACUCGAAUCUCUGAACAGUUUUAAUAUUUCCUUUAUCCAUAGACAAAUUACAAAAUAGAAAAUAGUUACAGAAAUCACCUUCUUCGGUCUCCCUAUAGUACCUCUGUAAAACCAAUUUUACUUUAUUAAAACAAAAAAGUUCCCUGAAAAUGUUAGUCAGCCAGUGGCGACACCUAUCCGGCAAGCCACUAGGCCACUACUCAGCCAAAUAAAAACAGUAAAAAAUAGCGACUCUAGUCAGAACAUCGGCAGAGCAAUUAAGGGAGAUGCUCCGCAUCACUUGAAAGAGCAACAAAGAAAGUAAAGAUUAAUGAGUGUGUCGGUGCUCUUGUUUUAUGUAAUGAUUGUGCUCUUGUUUUAUGUAAUAAUCUAUAACUCGAUUUAAAGCAGCACAUAAAAGGUCAAUAAACCUCUUACCUAAAACUUAGGUGGUUCUACAAUAAUCUCAAUGAGACAAUCUGCCUUAGUUGUGUAACAUUUUACACAAUUCUAAGUAUGUAGCUAUUUUAAUCAGAUAUUUAUUUGCAAGUCUUUUUUUAAUUGCGAAGAAAUUUGUAAAAAUUUUUGUAAGGGAUUAAUUGUAAGAUCUCAUUUAUUUGAUAUAAUGGUACAAUUCAAGAUGCCAUCAAAUUAAGUCUAUAUAAAUAUAGGGUGUCCAUCAAAUUAAGUCUAUAUAAAUACAGGGUGUCCAGAGAAUUUGUGCUCUUGAAAUUCAAAUUUCACAGGGAGUAAUCCGAUAUCUUGGACAAUAUAAAAGAAAUCUUUAUCACUUUCUUUCCACCAAAUGUAUCAAAUGUAUUUAAAGAUGUAAUUAGCUUGCUAGCCAGAAAAUACAAAUUUAAAGAAAGCUUAAAAAUAAUUGUUAUAACAUUGUAUGUUGUAUUUGUUAAUAAAUUGUUGUGUAUUUUUAUCAAUUUUGUCUUCUAUAAAAUUUGGGCGAAUUAUUAAUUAGAGAUAGUUCAUCACUAAUUCAGUAUUAGUAUUCAGUUUUUGUUAGUCAGUCACAACAUUUAAACUAAUCAAAGCAUUUAAUUCAGCAUCCCAUCAAUGGUAGUAAAAUUCUCUGAUAAUUUUUCUCCAAAAAUGGUGAAGCCACGUGUCAUUUUUCUCCUAAAAUGGUGAAGCCACAUGUCAUUUUUCUCCAUAAAUAGUUGCUGUAUUUUUUUCAAAGCUUACCCAUGUCCCCAUACUGCUACAAUUUUUGCUUAAAAACAAGUGGUAAGAGGGUUCCAUGCAAAUUUUUAAUCAAGGAAAAAGGAUAAAUUGGAAUAUUUUUUAAAUUUUUUAAUGAAGGAGAAAGGGUAAAUUGGAAUAUUUGUCUAUUUAAGUGGAGCAGCAGUUGCUAAAAAUUUUAAAAUAAGUUUUGCCAAAAAGGGGCUGGAAAUAAGCACUGUUUAUUGAAAAGAAAUUGAAAAGAAUGAGAGAGGGCUCCACCAAUUUAUUUGUUUCUAUUUUCAAAUGCUGUGUUAAGCAGUAGCUGCUUCACUAAAAUAGGGAACGAUUUCAAUUUAUUGCUCUAACCCAUCUGCAGACUCAUAUACAAAUUGCUGGCAUCAUAGACUAUAAAAGACAUUUCUUUUUUUUAAUAAUUUUAAUUUACGAUUUAAUCAUAAUAUUACAAACGAUAAAUUUAUUUCUAUAACUACACAAUAAGUAUUAAAUGAACCAUUCAUAUUUAUGAGAUAAAUUUGUUACUGUUAAAACCAUAGACCUGGUUCAUAUUUAUGAGAUAAAUUUGUUAAAACCAUAGACCAAUGAACUGGCUAUCGCAUAUAACUGUAUACAAGGCUAAAGGCCACAAUACCGCUUUCAUUAAAAUUUUAAUUGUUUAAUCAAAACAUAGGCAAUGGGUUGCUAUAGGAACGGUUUACCUGUUAGGGUUAUAUCUAGGGUUUUGAAAUCAGGGCUUCCCUCACUAUGCACUCUAUUUUAAGAGCAUCAGCCCUCUGAACUCCACAUUGAAGUAGCAUCGGUCCUCAAUGACAAAUCUCACUCAGUUGUGAACUUGCUAAAAGAAGGUAAUUAGCACUUUGUCUAUUUUUUUGCUGUUAUUAAGCUUCUUUCACUGGUCACCGGGCUAAUCUGUGCAUGAGUGACUCGUUCCCUUGAAGCCAAAUCAAUUCUCUAUUUCCUCCCUCGCUAUCUCGCUGAAAACUUUAAUUUUGCAGUGGGACGUUGGGAUGAAACAAUUUAAUUGUUUAUUAAUUGUGAAGUUUUUCUACUUGGGGGUUUCGCAGGGUUGUAGGGUUUUGUUUAUGGUUCAACAAUGAUGAAGAUAUACACAGAGUCUUGAUAGCCUGUGAAUAUGAUCGCACAAAAAGAACAUCUGAGGGGAAAAGUUGUCCGCAACUUCCAGAAGAUAAUGUUUUUUUAUGGUUUUUCGAAUCUUAAAUCGUGUCAUUUAUUUUCCUGUUGCUAUUGGGGUUUUUUAUUGUUGGCAAAGUUGUCCACAACUUCCAGAAGAUAAUGUUUUUUUAAUGGUUUUUCGAAUCUCAAAUCGUGUCAUUUAUUUUUCUGUUGCUAUUGGGAUUUUUUAUUGUUGGAAAGAGGAAUUUUUGUAAUAUUGCUGGAAAUGAAAAUUAUUUUAUUAGGGGUUGUAAUAGUUACACUUCUGUAUUUUGCGUCUUUCAUUCUCACAGUUCUGAAACAUAUAUGAUGCUUUUGGGUGUCUCUUUCCCAGGAAAAAAGGAGGAAAUGGCAAAUAUGUGUCUCCUCUUAAGAUUAUUGGGUUCCAACUUUCCGUAGUUCAAAGGAACAAACGGAGUAAACCCGGAUUGAGUAUAAGAAUCUGUUAAAAGAGCGAGCUAGUCCUUGUGAUGUUCUUAUACUGUAGUCUAUGGUGUAUUUUGUUAUUAUUUGUGUUUAAAUGAUAUUUUUGUUGGUUA